CGCCAUCUCGUUUACGGGGCGCGCGGCCGCUGUGUGGGUGAUCCUUUCGGGACGGCGUUCGAGGCCGUGAGGCCGUAACGUGGCUGCCACCACUCGCAAAGCACCAGGAGCCAGGGAGAUGCCCACAUACACCAUGGACACCAGGUAACACCAUGAUGGGGCUCCCUGGGGCCAGGAUGCCCAGUGGGAGCAGGAGAUGGCCCACAACUCUGCUCAGCCCAAGUUUCUCCUCCAGGCACUUGGAGCCCAGGCUGGCUCUGUCUCUCCUUCCCUGAGUGCCAAAGGGGAGAGGAAUAAUGAGUAUGAUGGCUCUGACUCACCUGUCAGCUCAGCUGAGAUAGGUACUGCCUCAUUAAGUGAUGAUAAGAGCAAAGAAGCAAAGCUAUUUAAAUCAUAAUCAAAUGGUGAAGGCAUUCUCUCUUAGUCUCAAGAGGAGACCUUCAGGAUGAGAAGGAGGUUACUAGUCCUGAAGCAGUUCAUUCACAGGAAAACCUAAGUCAUGUUUCUGUUUGUAGGAAACAUGCUAAAUGGUGGCAAUACAUUUAUAGUGCAUAAAUAGGAAUUUAAUUGAAAAUUAAUGUUUGCAUUAAUGGAUAGAGACUAAUAUACUAAUAGAUCACAAUCAUUAAUAAGUUAAUCACAGAUCAAUUAGUAAGAAAUUAAUGAUAUUCAGUUCUAGGAUAUAUCUUCAUAUGGAAUACACUUAUUAAUAGCACAAAAAUAUUUUACUAAUUAACUAAUAUUAAAGUAAGUCUACAUUCUAUAAUAUUAAAACAAUGCCAUUGGCAUCCAAAUAUCACUAAGCUAAUUCUGAAGAUGGAUUCCUCCUGCUUUCUGCAUUUACAACCCAACUAAUGUUUUCCAGCACAAGUUUGCAGCCAGACCAAUUAGACCCCAGCAGGCUGUGGGGUGGGAGGCCCUGAGUUAGGAUCAGGAAUAUUAAUUCACUGUCCCCCAUUUUUGCUGUUGCACAGUGUGGAAAGCAGCUCAGAGCAUGACUUUUGAUGACAGGGGAGGACCUUGCUCACAUACUUGCUGGGUUAGUCCUGCCUCUUGGGUGGAGCUGAUCCGGAGGAGGGCCACAAAGAGGAUCAAAGGCCUGGAGAAGCUCUUCUAUGAAGAAAGGUUGAGGGAGGUGGGCUUAUUCAUCCUGGAGUAGAGAAGGCUCCAGGGAGACCUCAUUGUGGCCUUCCAGUACUUAAGUACUGAGCCUGUAAGCAGGAGGGGGAACAACUUUUUACACAGACUGAUAGUGACAGGACAAGGGGGAAUGGCUUUAAACUAAAAGAGCUAAUGUAAAGCAGACUGAGGAGUCUCCUAGUAAUGUCCCUGACCUGGGACUGAGGUAGGCAGCACACUUCCCUACAGGUAGGGUCUGGCCAAUGUAUGGGGGCCUCCGUUCCUCUGAGAAGGGAGUCACCCAUGAUGAUUACCCUUCUUUCCCUUUUAGUGGGGGAGUCUCGAGGCUUGGAGUCAGCCACCUCACCAUAGACAACCUCCUGGGUGGACCUUCCACCGCAUCUUUACCUGUCCUUGGAGUUCCAGAGCCUCAAACCUAUUGUGUCCCCUCCCGCUGCCCAGCUGCAACAGGCCAGGGGGUCCACCACUAUUUUGACUGUUACCAUGCCACUGCCUUUCUCGCAGGUAUGGCAGGGGGUUGCUCCACCAUUCUAUCUCCUGCUCACACUCCCUGAAGCUCCUUAAUCUCUCCACCUCCUCUUCCAGCUCUGCCACCAGGCUGAGCAGGUCAUCCACCUCACGCAGAUGCUAUCUGCCAUCGUGGGGGGGCAGCAGCAGGCUCAGGCACCCCCCGCAUCUAGAGACCUGAACAGCCGCAUUUCCAAGCGGGCACUUAGUCUGGGUAGCCACGUUCUUUUUGGUAAGAUUUUUGCCUAGUGGAGACCAUGGCUAGAUUUGUAGCCUGGGAGGCAGCUGACAGGUGAGCCGAUCUGCCGAGAGGGGAGGGGUACCCCGUCCCCCUGCACGCACUGCCGCGCCGCGCUGCCUGCCCGCGCCGCUCGCUCCACCCCCCAGGGGCUGUGCUUGGAAUUGCAGGGUGUCACGCCGCUGCUCCCAGCCCCGCGGCGUCGGAGCCGCUGCCACGUGGAAGAGGAGUUUGCCUGGCGUGGUACACCUGUCAAAGCAUAACGCGGGGUCCCAAGGCGAGUUCAGGGAGGGCAGAGACCUGCCGUCGAGCAGAAGGGCAAAAGCUCUCUUUGUCCUGAUUUUCAGCAUGAAUACAGACAGUGAAGAUGCUUCAAAACUUGAAAUAAAACAAGAAAUGCUUAACAGAAUCAGGUCAGUAGCAACCAUUUUCCCACUUAAAGAUAAAAAAGAAGGAAAAAUAAAAAAUGGGUAUGAAAGACAGUUAGAAGGUUCACCUCGUGAUAAGGCUUGUGGAAACUAGCCACACAUUCCCACAAUGCACAUUGCUUUUCAUUAGAACAUUGCUGUGGCUUGGUCCCUGACAUCAGUUCAUGGAGCAGAUUGGUUUCCAGAAGGGUAGAUGGUAUUUUUCCAUCCACAUACAUGGCCUAGCAUGGGUCAGCUGAGCCUGGGCUGCAGCUGGUACCACAGCCACUUCACCACAUCCUCCUCCCGCAGCAGGUGCCAGCAUGCUCGGCAGGUCCAGCAGCACAGGGGUCUGCAGCAGCCCAAGAGCCAGUAUUACAUAAUGGUUAAAGCUAAAUUACCUCAGCUGGUAAUUUAUAUUUAUAAAUACCUGACUGCGGGCAGGAGCUGGAUGGGAAGAAAACCAUGCGGUACAAAACCAGCUCCAGUGGGAUGGGUUUUCACAGCAGAAGUCACACAGCUCUGGCUUCGCAGCAGCUUGUGGAGCUGCGAGGAUUGGUGUGGCAGUUUCUCCCCAGUCAGCUCCCAGCUUUCAACAGUGGAGGAAAUGAGACUGGAUGCUCCUCUCAUGCCUCUUGAAGCUUACUCAGGAGCAGGGCUGUCCACAUGUGCUGGGCCAAGGGAUGUUCUGUGCCACUGAGCUCAAGAAUGUGCUGCCUCCCUGGUGUGGGAGGAACAGGAGCAUAACCGUUUCCAGGAGUCUCCAAGUCGUGCUUGUGUGUGUUUUUCUGUGAGCCUAGAAGUUCUGUGGUCAUGUAAUGACAGCUCUCCUUACUGCUCAGUUACAGGAUCUGAUCCUGGAGGCUUCCAUGGUUUCACCCAGUAUUUAUUCAUCCCCCACAUGAAUUUGGGGAAUUUCCAUUUCAAAACACUUUGUGUUUUCUGUCCUCCUGUGGUCCUGGCACCCAGGGACGGUGUAAAUUCCUUGCUCAGACUGGAUUUUCUGUUUUACCUGUAGAGGCCUUUCAGGCCAGUCUAAAGAAGAAAGAUAUCUGUAGUUAAAAAAAAAAAACAAUUCCUGUUUCUAGAGAAUGCAGCUUGGGUAGCAGGAAUAAUGUCAACACAAGUCUGUACUAAGUGGGUUUAACAGUUAUCAUUUCUUUCUAAUGUUUAACUCAUGGCCUAAAGCUGAUUAGUGAUUUGUGUCCUGUGCCACCAUGCUAGCUCUACUCCUUAAAUUACAAUAAGGUCCACAAAUCAAACCUCCCUUUACUCUGAUAAUAAUAUUAAAGAUCUUAUGAUAUUCCUGACUUAUUGUGAACAAUAGUUUUACUCUGGACUGGAGACCUCCAGAGAUCCCUUUGUAGCACUGCUGCUGUCAUUGUUGUCAUGCCACAGGCACCACCAUCUGGGGAAUUAAGGACACAAUUUUAACAGAAUAAUCCUCUGCCUGGAUCCCCCCAUAUCCUUUGGGGAUCCUCUUACAAAAUGGACUAAGGUCCUCUUACCAACUCAAUAAAUACAUUAAAUGAAACAAAUCUACUGAGCAUCAAGUUCUCCAAGCAAGAGUGAGCAUCACACUUUGUUCUGUCUCAGCGCUAAUCCAGCUUUCACUGUUGCAGCCUCCUGAAGUGAUAAUCUGAUGCUGCCUUUAAGCAAGAAAGAAGCAAGUAAGCGAGGGGAAAAACUGCUGCUUAGGUUCUCAUUUGAUGUCAAGGUUUGAUAACCUGAAGCUCUACAACCAGGAUUCAAGUAGGGCUAACAUACAUUACUCCAAGAGAACUAAUGUGUAAACUGUAUAAAAGUCAGAAUCGUUCAACCCCCUCACUACUGCCGUGCAUAGGAGAGAGCCUAACCUCUGUGAGGUGCUGUUGUUGUGGCUCUGACCUUCCUGUCCUUGGGAUGUGAGUGCCUCUCAGAGGAGCUGUUAAGCAGACAAUUUUGCUGGGAGAACACGGGUGCCAGAGCAGCUCUCACUGAUGCCAGGAGGAGUUUUGUCCUGGAGCGCCCUUCAGAUGCGUCAAUCUUACUAGCAGCAUUGUGCACAAGUCAUGGCACAAGGGCUGAAGGCUUAAUGUUUGUUCUGCAAAUUGGGCUAAUGUUGUGAAGACCAUAAAAGGCGGUAUGUAUCAUGUCUGACUUCUCGCUGGUAGCCAAGAUUGCAGUGUAUUGUAUUUCCCUUUAUUACAUUAUCUGAGAUCAAAUUGCGUGGUAACUUACAACAAGGAAAGGUUUCAGUUUCAUUGAUAAUGACCACCUUCUUUUUAAGAUUUAAUAUAGCAUAAGUUGUAAAACUUUUCACUGGGAAUGAGACAGUGGGAACAACUAAAUCUGAAGCCCCUCAGGUCAACCAAGGCAGAGACUUGCUCCUGCCAGGCACCGCAACCUCCAGGCAGUCUGUCAGCCAGCAAAGCAAGAGGCUGAACUGAGGUUCUGGACAAAAAUGCAAAUCAUGGAUUUAGCAUCAUGAGAGAUCACCUAAAGCUCAGGUCAGCUGGUCAGCCCUGUCCUAAAAUAAGCAGUGAUGGACUUACAGGCCUCACAUGGGUGGUCUACCAUGCAUCAGCCCUGCACCACCAGCUGGGGAGCAGGGAUGGGGGCAAUCAUGCGGCGGUACCAAGUCCUGUUGCAAGUACGUUGGUUUCACUGUCAAUUGUUUUCUCUGCUGCACUCACCUUACUGCAACACUGCUCUCAUGACAUGUUCCAGUUGCACCACAGUCACAGGCUAGGAGCAGUUACUUCCAUACCAGUCAUUUGAUUUCAGAGGUUCACCAGGUGUGGUAUCACUCCCAUAUGUGCAUCCUUGGUGCAAUAGAGAUGCGUUAGACAUUGCAAAUCGCAAAUCAAGUAUAGCUGUUUCCUCCUUCAUUGCUUUCUUCUCUAUUACUGUAAAAUGAAAAACUAGAUUUUCUUCUUGCACCUUACAGCACAGAUGCAGCUAUUCUUGCUGUACAGGAGCUGAGGAUUUAUCCUACAGAUUUCUUUCCUUUUUCAAAGCCAGGAGGGGUGUCUGUCCUCCCAACAGGUCUUUCUGAAGGCAAAGGAUGACUGCAGGUGACAUGGUCACUCUCUCUCCCAUGGUGUUUUUGAAGCAGGAAGAAUGUUUGAUGUAAAUUUUGUGAGAAUAAUUCAUAUUUAUCUGUGCACAAAUACAGAUGUAAUUUGGUUGGAAUGCACAGGACAUUUAGAAGUGGAAAUCUCAUUAUCCUAUCCUAGUAAUUCAGGACUAUUAGAGCAAAACUUAUGGUUUUUAAUCAGUAAGACUGUAUUAGCAUAAUAGAGUUAAUUUCAAUGAAGUAAAAUAUGUUGAUUAAAGAAUGCUUUUUUCUACAGAAGACCCACUAACUUUGAUAUGCAACACCAGUAGCCUCUGAUUUGUGGAAUCCUUCAUUUUCUCACUGAGUCAAGGAGAGAAAAGGCGGUUUUGUCUCCUGCAAGACUGGCCCUAUGUGACGUUGCUUCACCCUGAGUGCACAGAGCAAGUAGUACAGACUGCCUUUCACAUGCACCUGGCUUCCUACACCUGGACCAAGCCUUUAAGUGUGUAAAUAGUGAUCACUGCACAAAUGAAAUAAGCAGCUAGAUAGGAAGUUUUACGUCUGGGCAUUCUGUAGGCAUGGCUCUACCGUUUGCUGGAGCAGAGCACAGUGCAUCCCCAUGGACCUGGGGUUCAAAGCUCAUUGGGGUAGGAUUUGACUACUUGUAGCAUAAGUCCAAAUGCAGUCUUUGUGGUGUUACUUCUCUUUCUCUGUGGGGCUGGGAGGGCAGAGGCUAAAGCCUUGGGUGAAAAUGCAUAACUCUUCUGGCCAACAUGACAAAACCCCAGCUGGAAGAAGCACAAGGGGUCAGACCUGCUGUUAUGGGGAUGUGCUGAGUCCCAGGGGCCUCUCACACACUUCUUCCUUUACUGAGCUGUAGAAACAGUGACAUCUAGUAGGGCAGCAGUAGCCAGCUGAGACGGCAAGACAAGGGGCAGCCAUAGGGCUGUAACUGAGAGCAGGGACACAACUGUUCCUCCUUGCCUUCUCCACCCCAAAGCCACAAUGUCACAAGCUUAAAUUUGCUACAAGGUCUGCUCCAGUGCUGUUACCACAGAGUAUUUUUGAUAUGCAUCUGCAAAAGCAUCACCAGUGCUUAUUCUUUGCAAAGAUAUGUUUCUACAGGCUGUAUGCUGCAAUCAGGGCAGUAUUGCUUAUAUCUCUGUAAAGUAUCCUUUGAUCAAACAGUUCAUUCUGCACAGAUCAUUUAAGAUUUGGACCAGCAUCACGCAUGAAACAGUUUCUUUCUCAGGAUUGAAGUGUCACUACAGUGCUGGACUUCAUGGGGUCCUGCUCCACCUCCUGUUUGCAGGUAUCAGUGUGGGUGCUCUGGCUCUGACCUGCUUGGUAUCAGCAAACAAAGUAGAAGACACAUUCUUUCCUUUGGAAAAAGCUGAAGGUUUCUCCUUCCUGAAUCUGCUGAUUUGGGAAGCUUGUGGGUUCUGGUCAGGCACUCCUGUGAGGUUUCCAUGUCAUGAUGCUCAUUCUCAGCUGACUCACCCCAUUUAUCUCUUUGGGAAGUGUGGCUCAGAAUUAUUACACUGUAUACAGAAUUAUACUGAAUAAUGAAUGCAGAAUUAUAAACGACCACACAUUUCUUUGGGUUGGCCUGCUUUGAUGAUGCCUUGAAUUCAGGUACAAGGAUGUCAGUAGCAGCUCUGUUAUCAUGGCUGCCCUUGUCUAUUUCUAGGCUCCCCCACAAACUCCCUACAUAACCUGUAGAAAACGGCUCAGACCAGAUCCCUUCCUCCUCCCGUUGUAAAAUGGAGCUGUGUAUGGAUUCUGUGACCAUUUCCAUAGAGAGCAGAGAACUAACUGAAGAAAUUUUGCUGACUCUUAACGUCUCCUUUCAGACUCCAGGAAUACCUUUGAUUCUGAAUCAUUUAAAAAAGAACAGUUUGGCUUGUCUGGGUGACACAUGCAUGUUUAGUUGAUGCAGGAAUGGCUGCAUGGGGCCAGACGUGAAGUUGCAUACAUCUCCACCAGUGUGAGACUGCUGCAGCUCUGCUGUGCUGUGCGUGGUGCCGCAGGGCUUCUCUGCAUCUCAGGUUUGUUUUGUGUUUAACAGCCCGUGAUUAUUUUCGGCUAAAAAUAAAGUGCACUGAGGUCCAGGAAGAAUAAACUAUCUUUCUAUGCCAAGAAGUAGUGCUGACUUUCUGUGUCAGUUCAAAGUUAUUCUUGGUAAUAAAUUAGUCCUUGUUCAGACCACAUGUAUUUUAAUGGUCUCCUUGACUCUGCCUGCCUCGCUCACAGCAGCCUCAGGAGUCAAGCGCUGCAGCGCAGAGUGUUUCUUCUGGGAAAUAAAAUCUAUCGAUGCUGCAGAGUUAUCUGGAAGGUCUCCAACGCUAGUUGACAUCAAAGCUUUUGCAGUGUUUUUCAUAUGUGGAAUACAAAGGGGCUUAAAAUCAAUCUUAUGGUAGUGUGAUAGUUUCAAAUGCAAUCAUCACUUCUCCAAGUUAAAUAAACAACUUCUGAGAAUAUGUUUAUGCAUUAGCAGGAAGAUUUCUGAUGUCCUCAGAAGCUACAGAAGCAUACUGAGGCUGCCACCAGUAGCUUCAGUGUGACCAGAAGAGCCCUAGCAGGGUCUAUAAUCACACAGACCACGAGUGUUUUCUUCUGUAUAUACUUCAAUGAGAGUGAAAGCACACCAACAUCAGAGGGAGCAGGCUGACUUAAAAAUCGUCCAUGAGACAACCAACAGCUUUGCCUGGGCACAGUCCACCUCUUUUUCAGAUAUAACACAAGCAUGAUGUUGCAAUGGAAUUUUACCUUAUGGAAAGUUUAAAGGUAAUUUGGGAUCUCAGGGGUGAUGUAAGUAAGGAAAGCAGAAUUCACCCUUUCCAGCAAGACUUGUUUUGUAAAUUUGCUCUGCAUAAAAAGACAAUCUCUGCUUGUAGGGAGAGUUUCCUUUGUCGUCAAAGCUUAGCUGGAAUUUCUCAGGCCAAAAUUACAGGGGAGAUAAACCAGAGUUGCUAUAAAAGGAACCGGUUGCAACCUUGUCAUGGAAGAGGGACUCCUUCAGAGCUAGCAACAAGAUCUAGCUGUUAGAUUCUAUUUUUAUCUUAUUUCUACUUCAUGAUUUCCCCAGAAAAGACUCACUCAGUGGGAAUAUUACAUUCAUUCAUCUAGAGAUAUUUAUACUUUCACACUGGAUAGGAUUAAUUUUCUUAUCCAGUUAAUGCAGUAUGUAAUUAUUAAAUAUCUUUACUGUGAACAUAGACAUGUACUUUGUGUCAGAAAGGGGCACAACUGGCAUUUUAAAUUACUGAAGGAUAACUGCAGGUUGCUGUUUCUCACAAAGAUUGAGGAAUUCUUUUUAAUAUGAUAAAUGGUAAUCAGACUCCCUUUCAUACUAUAUCACUUUGCAAGUGAAUUUAUUCUGUAGCCAUCAGUUGUGGGUCUAUUAAAGAGCAAUCUCAAGGCAUAUGUAUUAAUGGUGUGAAACCAUGUGACAUCAUAAUAUAUGGUAGAGGUACUGAAACUCGCCAGAUUAUGGUUUUCAGUACCUUAUAACUACUACAAGGUAUCAUAAUACUAUAUUCACUAUACACUAAGUAUAUAUUAGUAUAGAGAUCUUUAAAGGUCAUCUAGUCCAACUCCCCUGCAAUGAACAGACAUCUGCAGCUCAGUCAGGUGCUCAGAGCCCUAUCCAGCCUGACACUGGACAUCUCCGGGGGUGGGAUGUCCACCACCUCUCUGAGCAACCUGUGCCAGUGCCUCACCACCCUUACUGUAAAAAACU